GUACAGAGGAGUUACAGUUAUAUGUCAAGUAAUGAGUACAUUUCUCUUUGAACAGUGUCACCUCUUCCCUCAUUUUGUACCAGUUUUUCCCCACCC